UUCGUCCAUCACUUUUGGUUUAUUUUCAGUAUAACAAAGAAAACUUAGACAAUAUCACUAGAACACAAUCACUUCUCAAAAGCAUUUUUGUUUUCUUUUUAUGACAACUUUUUUUUUUAAAAAACAUCAACAACAACAAAUGAAACAAAUAAUUUCAGCAUCAAAUCUAUUUGUUUACCUUUUUAAUUAGUCAAAAUUCAGUCAAAUCAACAUGAUUUGUUUUUUGUUUACCUGUGUUGGCAAACAAAGUCAUAUAGCUAAACAAGUCUCGAUAACAAAUGCUGGCCAGAGGUUUUGUCCUACUUGGUACCGGUACUCAAAGAUUUAUUAGAUUUUAGGGUAAAUAGGCACAAUUUAGGACAAGUUGUGCCCAUAAGAGAUAGAAAUCUUUUAGUUCAAGUUAAAACAACUUUAAAUAAUCCUUUAAAAAGGGAUGGAUCUUGAUAUUAAAAUUGACAGCUACGAUUUUGAGCUUCGAACGUUAUGAUGAUUCUAAAAGGG